AGAAUCAACGCUGGCGGCGUGCCUAACACAUGCAAGUCGAACGAGAAAGGGUAGCAAUACCUGAGUAAAGUGGCGCACGGGUGAGUAACACGUGACUAACCUACCCUGGAGUGGGGGAUAACCUCGGGAAACCGAGGCUAAUACCGCAUAACAUCGCAAGAUCAAAGCAGCAAUGCGCUGGAAGAGGGGGUCGCGGCUGAUUAGCUAGUUGGCGGGGUAAUGGCCCACCAAGGCGAAAGAUCGGUA
rnacentral:rRNA from 1 species